rnacentral:misc_RNA from 1 species
AACGCACCUUGCGCUCCUUGGUACUCCGAGGAGCAUGCCUGUUUGAGUGUCAUGAAAUUCUCAACCUUAUCAGGUUUUACCACCUGAUCAGGCUUGGAUGUGGGAGUUUUGCGGGCUUCUUAAUAAGAGGUCGGCUCUCCUUAAAUUCAUUAGCGGGACCUUUUUGGUUGCCUUGGCCCUUUAGUGUGAUAAUUAUCUACGCUAUUGCCGAUGUGACCUGGUGCAGCUUCUAAUCGUCUUUCUUUUUGAGACAACGUAUAAUGACAAUUUGACCUCAAAUCAGGUAGGACUACCCGCUGAACUUAA